rnacentral:misc_RNA from 1 species
AAAGUGCGACAAGUGUCAUGACUUGCAGAUUCCCGAGAGCUGACAAAUUUCUGAAUGCAAAUUGCAGCCAAAUCAUACUGGCUAUGUAUUGCAGAGAGUUCUGCGCUUAUGCGCUCCAUCCAGUCGGCCUUCUAUAUGCCUACUGGGACAUGCGAUUGCGAGACUCCUAUCUAUGUACGUUUUGUCCACGGGCAAAAUGUCCGCGAUCGUGAAAGGAAGGAAACCUUGUGUUUACCUUGGAACAAGCAGCCCACACUGCGGCUGAAAGAGAUACAAACAACAACUUCUCUCUCUAACCUCUGCAAUGCAGGAGAACCCGCUGAACUUAA